GAUGCUGAGCCUCUAUAACAUCGCAGUCCAUCGUAUCCAGACACAGUUGAGGUGCUCUUUCAUGGGAAUUGAAGCGGAAUUGGAUCACAACUAACAGGAUUUUAUAUGGAAACUUUGAGUUCACCGCUUGCAGAAGAAACAAGCUUCGCCAGAACAGAGGAGGAAGAUGAGGCUGAAGAAAAUAAAGAGGAGGAUAAAGAUGAUGCACAAACAGAGGAAUCAGCUGUCGGGAAGCAACGACUGGCGGCCUGGGCUCCGUGUUUUUACUGCAGAAUGUGCAAAGAGGUGUACAGCUUUGCUGGCCACGAGAUCGUCAUCGAAGAGGGUCUUGACUCACUUGCAGGCAUGAUAUGGCCUGGGGCUUUGGCUCUCUGUCACUACCUUGACACUCACCGUGACCGGCUGAAUCUCGUGGACAAAGCCGUCCUGGAGAUUGGAGCAGGAACCGGCCUUGUGUCUGUGGUAGCGGCACUUCUCGGUGGUUGGGUCACAGCGACAGACCUUCCAGAGGUUCUGAGCAACACUAGAGCCAACCUGUGCAGAAACACCAAGGGUCUCUGCAGACACACACCCCAGGUGGCACCUCUGUCCUGGGGCUAUGACCCGGAGAGCACCUACCCUUCGUCCGUCUACAGGUAUGACUACGUCCUGGCAGCCGACGUGGUUUAUCAUCACGACUUCCUGGAUGAGCUCUUGGUCACCAUGAAACAUUUCUGCAAACCAGGAACAACACUGAUCUGGGCCAACAAGGUCCGAUUUGAGUCCGAUCUAGUGUUCACAGAGAACUUUAAGAAGGCCUUCCACACAAGUCUGCUGGUCGAAGAAGGAGAGAUGAAGAUCUUCAUGGCAACGAGUAGGGAAGGAGAUGGUGAAGUAGAUCAGGGGCUGGAAAUCCAAGAUCUGUUGGGAGAAGAGGAUGGAACGACUGUGGAGGAAGAAAGCAACAAAGACGACAGUGAAGACAAACCUUCCUGUGCCUGUAAAGAGGUGAGAGCUGAUAUACUGGACAGUUACAAUGAGGAGGAGUGGGAAAAAGACAAAGAGUUUGAAAGUGAUGAGGAGGAAGAGGAAAUUGUGACCUCUAAAGACGAUGAAACACAUGAGCAAAGUGAGAAUGUUGCAAGCAAUGACAACACUUCUGAACAGGAGCGUUCGGACCAGACAGUUGCAAGGCAGAAAUGGGUUCCAAACGUCAUUUGCCGCAUAAACAAAGACAUCUACCAUUAUGUAGGGCAGGACAUCGUCAUUUACGAAUCCAUAGAUUCAUUUGGAGCAAUGAUGUGGCCAGCUGCGUUGGCUUUGUGCUCCUUCCUUGACAACAACAGGGACACAGUGGACCUGCGAGGGAAGGAGGUGCUGGAACUGGGAGCAGGAACAGGACUGGUAGCCAUUGUGGCCAGUCUACUGGGAGCUGCAGUCACAGCCACAGACCUUCCAGAGAUAUUAGGUAACCUUCAAGCCAACUUAAUGAGGAACACCAGGGGUCUCUGCAGACACACACCCCAGGUGGCACCUCUGUCCUGGGGCUAUGACCUGGAGAGCACCUACCCUUCGUCCGUCUACAGGUAUGACUACGUCCUGGCAGCCGACGUGGUUUACCAUCACGACUUCCUGGAUGAGCUCUUGGUCACCAUGAAGUAUUUCUGCAAACCAGGAACAACACUGAUCUGGGCCAACAAGGUCCGAUUUGAGUCCGAUCUAGUGUUCACAGAGAACUUUAAGAAAGCCUUCCACACAAGUCUGCUGGUCGAAGAAGGAGAGAUGAAGAUCUUCAUGGCAAUGAGUAGGGAAGAAGAUGAAGGUGACAGGAACAGACUGAGUAGGCCUACAGACUGCAGGCUCAAAGCCUAAGGAGGUUUAAAAGGACUUAAUGUUGAACCUUUUUGUGUGAUUUAUUUUUUUCAAAUGCUGUCAGAUGCCCACUAACUUUGUUAAAGGUUGGCAGACAUGCAAGAUCAGUUUACAAAUGUUUUGCUCGAGACUCAGUGUGGAAGACAUGUUUACAUUUGUUGGCUUCAGGUACCUGAGAACUGUUUAAAUGUCAGCUUAGUAUCAAAAUAUUUAUAAUAGUGGUCUUGGCAAGCUUCACUUUGGCUGGUCUGACUUUAAGUCAAGAAAAAUUAGGAAAAGGAAUGAACCGUUUCUGGAGACUCACUCUCAUAAUAGACAACUUUAUUUUUUUAAUACUUCUGCUGUUUUGGUUCUGCCAAAGCAUGGGAUUUGUAUAUGCCACUGCAACAACUGGAGUCUAUGCUUCUCUGCUGGUGCAAGAUGUUUGUGAUGAUAUGCUGCACUGGGUUUUUUACCAAACAAUGUCUACUGUGGUCUCAUCUGUCCAAUGAUUGUCCUUGUGGUUCAAUCAGAUGCCACUUUACAAACUUAACAUGACCUGUUGUAUUUUCUUUAAGACAGAAGUCAUUCUACUGGAAACAAUCGUUUUGAGUUCAUCCUGAACUGAAUUUGCUCGGAUGCCUUAAGUGAUUUCCACUUGUGGAUUACAGAACUGAUUGGAAAUAGCCUUAAAAUCUAGAUUGAUACGCAUGAACAGAUGCUUCUUUAAAGUCAAUCUAGCUUCCAUGUUGACAUUGUGUUAACACACAUCUGUAUCCUCAGAUCCUCAGGUCAGACUUGCCGAGUGUCAUAUAAACAGGAGAAUAUACUUCCCCUUUUCCUGUUAAAUCUUAUUAAAGAUGCAACUUGACACCCCUGGUCUAGAUGCAACAAUGAAGCUCAUUGUACUGGGGAAACCUAUUGUCUAUUUGGUGGUUCAGUGCCUUUUUGUCUAACAAACUACUUUUGAUAGAUCAAGCUAUGUAGACAAUGUGAAUUCUUCUUUGUCUUUUGUAUUUUUCAGCCUCGUAAUACAGACAAGUGACAUGUGAACCCGUUUUAAAUAUCUUUAUUCAGUGAACUUUCUUGUUUGCGGCUUUUCUCGUGAGCACAAAAUACUUUUAACAGUGGCUCAGGUCUUUCCCACAUGAUCCAGAAAGGAUAUAAAAUGAUAUAGAGAAUACAGCUUUAACUCAUAACAUUCUGUGAUGAAGUAGAUUUUUAUGGCUAUAAAUAUAAACACAACAUCCAUAGCAAGCAUUCCUGAAGUUCCUAUGGACACCAGCAGAGCAACUCCAACAGAUAUGUUUGGUGUCAGAGGUCAAAGGUGAAGUCUUGUGGUGAAAACUUAAGGCCGUUUUUGGAGAGACUGUAAUUGGCAACGCAUGACGUUUGUGCACAGCAUAUGUUCAAACAGGAAACACAAUGAAGAGGGAAAUUAAUAAAGAGACCAACUCUCACAUAGGAUUCCUUCCAACAGCUCGAAGAGGUCGAUGCUGCGAAUAAUGCAGAAAGUGAAACCGUUUCAAGCUAAACAGAAACGUAAGAAUCUCCCCGCCGCUGAUUCACCAUCAGACUCCAGAAGACAAGAGGCCCUAAAGCAGAUACUUUACAUUCUUAGGCAUCAACGUUCCAGCCAGAGUGCUAAAAAAUAAAAUAAAACAAAGAUAAAACCAAAGCCUUUAUUUAUACUACUAGUUUAAAAAAAAAGAGAAAUUAUUUUUUCCAUCUAAUAAAUAUUUUUUUUCCUUUAACAUAUUGAUAUUGAAUCCAGCUUAACAAGACAAGUUUUCUUUGGUUACACAAAGAAAAGAGAAAAGAUAACACUUCUGCUUUUAGGACUAUAAAGCAAACAGGAUCAUGAACAUGAAAAUUAAAUUUAAUCACAUAGCCCUCAUCUGUAACUUCAGGUGAGACAUUUCCAAAAGGACCAAACCAGUAUUAAGUUUAGACAAAUCAAAAAUAUCUGCAGAUUCUCGGUUUUUAAAAUCAUUUCUUAUAACCUUUAAGGGUCAAAGAGUAAAUAUUUAAUACAUGUUAGGUUUUCAACAUCUCUUUCAAUAUAUGAAGGAAAGUGCAACAGUAUUUUGAAGCUUUGAAGGCAAUCGAAUCAAAUCCAAAAUUCAAAGCAUCAAAACUCUUAAGUCACAAUUGUCAGAAAUGAGUAUUUCUAAUGUUAAGUAUAUUAUGUGAGACAAUUAUUCAAAAUGAGCUGAAACUACUGGUGUGAUCCUUUUGAACAGCUAGGGUCCCAUUAAAAAGAAUGCCGUCUCACUUAAUACAGGUUCACACCUACACGCAAAGUUCCUCACAAACACACACACACCCAUCAACUGUUGAUGUUUCUCCAAAGCAUAAUUCACCAGGGGAGGGAAAAAAAAAAA